GACGAACGCUGGCGGCGUGCCUAAUACAUGCAAGUCGAGCGAGCGGAACUAACAGAUUUACUUCGGUAAUGACGUUAGGAAAGCGAGCGGCGGAUGGGUGAGUAACACGUGGGGAACCUGCCCCAUAGUCUGGGAUACCACUUGGAAACAGGUGCUAAUACCGGAUAAGAAAGCAGAUCGCAUGAUCAGCUUUUAAAAGGCGGCGUAAGCUGUCGCUAUGGGAUGGCCCCGCGGUGCAUUAGCUAGUUGGUAAGGUAAAGGCUUACCAAGGCGAUGAUGCAUAGCCGAGUUGAGAGACUGAUCGGCCACAUUGGGACUGAGACACGGCCCAAACUCCUACGGGAGGCAGCAGUAGGGAAUCUUCCACAAUGGACGCAAGUCUGAUGGAGCAACGCCGCGUGAGUGAAGAAGGUUUUCGGAUCGUAAAGCUCUGUUGUUGGUGAAGAAGGAUAGAGGUAGUAACUGGCCUUUAUUUGACGGUAAUCAACCAGAAAGUCACGGCUAACUACGUGCCAGCAGCCGCGGUAAUACGUAGGUGGCAAGCGUUGUCCGGAUUUAUUGGGCGUAAAGCGAGCGCAGGCGGAAGAAUAAGUCUGAUGUGAAAGCCCUCGGCUUAACCGAGGAACUGCAUCGGAAACUGUUUUUCUUGAGUGCAGAAGAGGAGAGUGGAACUCCAUGUGUAGCGGUGGAAUGCGUAGAUAUAUGGAAGAACACCAGUGGCGAAGGCGGCUCUCUGGUCUGCAACUGACGCUGAGGCUCGAAAGCAUGGGUAGCGAACAGGAUUAGAUACCCUGGUAGUCCAUGCCGUAAACGAUGAGUGCUAAGUGUUGGGAGGUUUCCGCCUCUCAGUGCUGCAGCUAACGCAUUAAGCACUCCGCCUGGGGAGUACGACCGCAAGGUUGAAACUCAAAGGAAUUGACGGGGGCCCGCACAAGCGGUGGAGCAUGUGGUUUAAUUCGAAGCAACGCGAAGAGCCUUACCAGGUCUUGACAUCUAGUGCCAUUUGUAGAGAUACAAAGUUCCCUUCGGGGACGCUAAGACAGGUGGUGCAUGGCUGUCGUCAGCUCGUGUCGUGAGAUGUUGGGUUAAGUCCCGCAACGAGCGCAACCCUUGUUAUUAGUUGCCAGCAUUAAGUUGGGCACUCUAAUGAGACUGCCGGUGACAAACCGGAGGAAGGUGGGGAUGACGUCAAGUCAUCAUGCCCCUUAUGACCUGGGCUACACACGUGCUACAAUGGGCAGUACAACGAGAAGCGAGCCUGCGAAGGCAAGCGAAUCUCUGAAAGCUGUUCUCAGUUCGGACUGCAGUCUGCAACUCGACUGCACGAAGCUGGAAUCGCUAGUAAUCGCGGAUCAGCACGCCGCGGUGAAUACGUUCCCGGGCCU
rnacentral:rRNA from 1 species